rnacentral:rRNA from 1 species
GAGGUUAGAUCAGAACACACUGGGACUGAGACACGGCCCAGACUCUACGGGAGGCAGCAGUGGGGAAUAUUGGACAAUGGGCGCAAGCCUGAUCCAGCCAUGCCAUGUGAGUGAUGAAGGCCUUAUGGUUGUAAAGCUCUUUCGACGGGGACGAUGAUGACGGUACCCGUAGAAGAAGCCCCGGCUAACUUCGUGCCAGCAGCCGCGGUAAUACGAAGGGGGCCAGGUUGUUCGGAAUUACUGGGCGUAAAGCGCACGCAGGCGCGAUCCAAGUCAGAAGUGAAAGCCCUGGGCUCAACCCGGGAACUGCUUUGAUACUGGGUUGCUAGAAACACGGAGAGGGUAGGGGAAUUCCGAGUGUAGAGGUGAAAUUCGUAGAUAUUCGGAAGAACACCAGUGGCGAAGGCGCCUACCUGGCGGGUCGAUUGACGCUCAUGUGCNNAAGCGUGGGGAGCAAACAGGAUUAGAUACCCUGGUAGUCCACGCCGUAAACGAUGAGUGCUAGAUGUUGGGGUGCAUGCACGGUCAGUGUCGAAGCUAACGCGAUAAGCACUCCGCCUGGGGNGUACNNNCGCAAGGUUAAAACUCAAAGGAAUUGACGGGGCCUAGCACAAGCGGUGGAGCAAAGUGGUUUAAUUCGAAGCAACGCGCAGAACCUUACCAGCCCUUGACAUGGGGGACAUCGACCAGAGAGAUUUGGUCUUCAGUUCGGCUNGUCCCGCACAGGUGCUGCAUGGCUGUCGUCACCCUCGUGUCGUGAGAUGUUGGGUUAAGUCCGGCAACGAGCGCAACCCUCAUCU